ACCCUAGAUGAACAUGACGGUUCUUUGAUGAGAUGAAAAGGGAAUGCGGUGCGGGGAAACCUCCCCAAGGCCGCGGCUGCCCCCGCAACUGUAUGCGGUGAAUCCUUCGUCAGAUGCCACUGGGA
rnacentral:ncRNA from 1 species